rnacentral:rRNA from 1 species
CAGCACCUCAAGUGGUCAGGAUGAUUAUUGGGCCUAAAGCAUCCGUAGCCGGCGCUGUAAGUUUUCGGUUAAAUCUGUACGCUCAACGUACAGGCUGCCGGGAAUACUGCAGCGCUAGGGAGUGGGAGAGGUAGACGGUACUCGGUAGGAAGGGGUAAAAUCCUUUGAUCUAUUGAUGACCACCUGUGGCGAAGGCGGUCUACCAGAACACGUCCGACGGUGAGGGAUGAAAGCUGGGGGAGCAAAACGGAUUAGAUACCCGGGUAGUCC